UGUAUCUGAAGUCUGACGAGGAUGAGAACCUCCGGGGGCAAGAGGUUCGACUCGAGCGAAGCGAGAGAACGUUGCGUCAGCAACGGCCCGCAGGG
rnacentral:sRNA from 3 species